rnacentral:rRNA from 1 species
UACGUAGGGAGCAAGCGUUGUUCGGAUUUACUGGGCGUAAAGGGCGCGUAGGCGGCAAAUUAAGUCAGCUGUGAAAUCUCCGAGCUUAACUCGGAACGGUCAGCUGAUACUGCUUUGCUAGAGUGCAGAAAGGGCAAUCGGAAUUCCUGGUGUAGCGGUGAAAUGCGCAGAUAUCAGGAGGAACACCGGUGGCGAAGGCGGGUCUCUGGGCCGAUACUGACGCUGAGGAGCGAAAGCGUGGGGAGCGAACAGG